CAGAUUGUAAGGAAUCGUACCCCAAACCGACACAGGUGGUCGGGUAGAGAAUACCAAGGCGCUUGAGAGAACUCGGGUGAAGGAACUAGGCAAAAUGGUACCGUAACUUCGGGAGAAGGUACGCUCUCGACGGUGAAGUCCCUUGCGGAUGGAGCUAUUGAGAGUCGCAGAUACCAGGUGGCUGCAACUGUUUAUUAAAAACACAGCACUGUGCAAAAUCGUAAGAUGACGUAUACGGUGUGACGCCUGCCCGGUGCC
rnacentral:rRNA from 1 species